rnacentral:rRNA from 1 species
GACGAACGCUGGCGGCGUGCCUAACACAUGCAAGUCGAGCGGGGUUGAAGCGAGAGGUAACUCGAACUUCUACCUAGCGGCGGACGGGUGAGUAACGCGUGGGCAACCUGCCUCAAGGUCUGGGAUAACAGCCCGAAAGGGCUGCUAAUACCGGGUAUGCUUGUGGCCUCGCAUGGGGCUACGAGCAAAGGGGAAACCCGCCUUGAGAUGGGCCCGCGUCCCAUCAGCUAGUUGGUGAGGUAACAGCUCACCAAGGCGACGACGGGUAGCCGGCCUGAGAGGGUGACCGGCCACACUGGGACUGAGACACGGCCCAGACUCCUACGGGGGCAGCAGUGGGGGAUCUUGCACAAUGGGCGAAAGCCUGAUGCAGCGACGCCGCGUGAGCGAAGAAGGCCUUCGGUUGUAAGCUCUGUCUGGAGGACGAAGGAAGUGACGGUACCUCCGGACGGAAGCCGACGGCUAACUACGUAGCCAGCAGCCGCGGUAACCUACGUACUCUA